UACGAAGGGGGCUAGCGUUGCUCGGAAUCACUGGGCGUAAAGCGCACGUAGGCGGCUUCUUGAGUCAGGGGUGAAAUCCUGGAGCUCAACUCCAGAACUGCCUUUGAUACUGAGGAGCUUGAGUCCGGGAGAGGUGAGUGGAACUGCGAGUGUAGAGGUGAAAUUCGUAGAUAUUCGCAAGAACACCAGUGGCGAAGGCGGCUCACUGGCCCGGUACUGACGCUGAGGUGCGGAAAGCGUGGGGAGCAAACAGGG
rnacentral:rRNA from 1 species